rnacentral:rRNA from 1 species
AUCAGCCUUUCGGGUGCGAUUCUGUGGGGUUUGAGGAAGCUUAACACCUUCAUGCUUUGCAUAUUCGUGCUCUUGGGUGUACUUGCCCGUGUGGUUGGUUAACAUCAAUUUUGGUGGUCAUAAAAUGACUGGAGGAAUGUAGCUUCGAUCUUGUAUUGAAGUGUUAUAGCCUUCGGUAGAUGUGAUGAUCGAGAUUGAGGAUUGCAACGGAUACCCUUCGGGGCUACCUGUCUGAUCUCUGAUCGUUGUUCUGGUGCCGAAAGCUUGCUUACGGUUAUCAAAGUCGAUGGUUAAUAGGUUAGAACGGGUUAAAUUCGUUAAGGAUGUUGACGUAAUGGCUUU